rnacentral:rRNA from 1 species
CUUGAACGCUGGCGGCAGGCCUAACACAUGCAAGUCGAGCGGAGCGGCGGACGGGUGAGUAAUGACUAGGAAUCUGCAUGGUAGUGGGGGAUAACGUCCGGAAACGGGCGCUAAUACCGCAUACUAUCAGAUGAGCCUAGGUCGGCUGAGCUAGUUGGUGGGGUAAAGGCAUACCAAGGCGACGAUCCGAAACUGGUCUGAGAGUAUGAUCAGUCACACUGGAACUGAGACACGGUCCAGACUCCGACGUGAGGCAGCAGUGGGGAAUAUUGGACAAUGGGCGAAAGCUGGAUCCAGCCAUGCCGCGUGUGUGAAGAAGGUCUUCGGAUUGUAAAGCACUUUAAGUUGGGAGGCGUGACCAACAGAAUAAGCACCGGCUAACUUCGUGCCAGCAGCCGCGGUAAUUC